GGUUAAGCGACUAAGCGUACACGGUGGAUGCCCUGGCAGUCAGAGGCGAUGAAGGACGUGCUAAUCUGCGAUAAGCGUCGGUAAGGUGAUAUGAACCGUUAUAACCGGCGAUUUCCGAAUGGGGAAACCCAGUGUGUUUCGACACACUAUCAUUAACUGAAUCCAUAGGUUAAUGAGGCGAACCGGGGGAACUGAAACAUCUAAGUACCCCGAGGAAAAGAAAUCAACCGAGAUUCCCCCAGUAGCGGCGAGCGAACGGGGAGCAGCCCAGAGCCUGAAUCAGUGUGUGUGUUAGUGGAAGCGUCUGGAAAGGCGCGCGAUACAGGGUGACAGCCCCGUACACAAAAAUGCACAUGCUGUGAGCUCGAUGAGUAGGGCGGGACACGUGGUAUCCUGUCUGAAUAUGGGGGGACCAUCCUCCAAGGCUAAAUACUCCUGACUGACCGAUAGUGAACCAGUACCGUGAGGGAAAGGCGAAAAGAACCCCGGCGAGGGGAGUGAAAAAGAACCUGAAACCGUGUACGUACAAGCAGUGGGAGCACGCUUCGGCGUGUGACUGCGUACCUUUUGUAUAAUGGGUCAGCGACUUAUAUUCUGUAGCAAGGUUAACCGAAUAGGGGAGCCGAAGGGAAACCGAGUCUUAACUGGGCGUUAAGUUGCAGGGUAUAGACCCGAAACCCGGUGAUCUAGCCAUGGGCAGGUUGAAGGUUGGGUAACACUAACUGGAGGACCGAACCGACUAAUGUUGAAAAAUUAGCGGAUGACUUGUGGCUGGGGGUGAAAGGCCAAUCAAACCGGGAGAUAGCUGGUUCUCCCCGAAAGCUAUUUAGGUAGCGCCUCGUGAAUUCAUCUCCGGGGGUAGAGCACUGUUUCGGCAAGGGGGUCAUCCCGACUUACCAACCCGAUGCAAACUGCGAAUACCGGAGAAUGUUAUCACGGGAGACACACGGCGGGUGCUAACGUCCGUCGUGAAGAGGGAAACAACCCAGACCGCCAGCUAAGGUCCCAAAGUCAUGGUUAAGUGGGAAACGAUGUGGGAAGGCCCAGACAGCCAGGAUGUUGGCUUAGAAGCAGCCAUCAUUUAAAGAAAGCGUAAUAGCUCACUGGUCGAGUCGGCCUGCGCGGAAGAUGUAACGGGGCUAAACCAUGCACCGAAGCUGCGGCAGCGACGCUGAUGCGUUGUUGGGUAGGGGAGCGUUCUGUAAGCCUGUGAAGGUGUGCUGUGAGGCAUGCUGGAGGUAUCAGAAGUGCGAAUGCUGACAUAAGUAACGAUAAAGCGGGUGAAAAGCCCGCUCGCCGGAAGACCAAGGGUUCCUGUCCAACGUUAAUCGGGGCAGGGUGAGUCGACCCCUAAGGCGAGGCCGAAAGGCGUAGUCGAUGGGAAACAGGUUAAUAUUCCUGUACUUGGUGUUACUGCGAAGGGGGGACGGAGAAGGCUAUGUUGGCCGGGCGACGGUUGUCCCGGUUUAAGCGUGUAGGCUGGUUUUCCAGGCAAAUCCGGAAAAUCAAGGCUGAGGCGUGAUGACGAGGCACUACGGUGCUGAAGCAACAAAUGCCCUGCUUCCAGGAAAAGCCUCUAAGCAUCAGGUAACAUCAAAUCGUACCCCAAACCGACACAGGUGGUCAGGUAGAGAAUACCAAGGCGCUUGAGAGAACUCGGGUGAAGGAACUAGGCAAAAUGGUGCCGUAACUUCGGGAGAAGGCACGCUGAUAUGUAGGUGAAGUCCCUCGCGGAUGGAGCUGAAAUCAGUCGAAGAUACCAGCUGGCUGCAACUGUUUAUUAAAAACACAGCACUGUGCAAACACGAAAGUGGACGUAUACGGUGUGACGCCUGCCCGGUGCCGGAAGGUUAAUUGAUGGGGUUAGCCGCAAGGCGAAGCUCUUGAUCGAAGCCCCGGUAAACGGCGGCCGUAACUAUAACGGUCCUAAGGUAGCGAAAUUCCUUGUCGGGUAAGUUCCGACCUGCACGAAUGGCGUAAUGAUGGCCAGGCUGUCUCCACCCGAGACUCAGUGAAAUUGAACUCGCUGUGAAGAUGCAGUGUACCCGCGGCAAGACGGAAAGACCCCGUGAACCUUUACUAUAGCUUGACACUGAACAUUGAGCCUUGAUGUGUAGGAUAGGUGGGAGGCUUUGAAGUGUGGACGCCAGUCUGCAUGGAGCCGACCUUGAAAUACCACCCUUUAAUGUUUGAUGUUCUAACGUUGACCCGUAAUCCGGGUUGCGGACAGUGUCUGGUGGGUAGUUUGACUGGGGCGGUCUCCUCCUAAAGAGUAACGGAGGAGCACGAAGGUUGGCUAAUCCUGGUCGGACAUCAGGAGGUUAGUGCAAUGGCAUAAGCCAGCUUGACUGCGAGCGUGACGGCGCGAGCAGGUGCGAAAGCAGGUCAUAGUGAUCCGGUGGUUCUGAAUGGAAGGGCCAUCGCUCAACGGAUAAAAGGUACUCCGGGGAUAACAGGCUGAUACCGCCCAAGAGUUCAUAUCGACGGCGGUGUUUGGCACCUCGAUGUCGGCUCAUCACAUCCUGGGGCUGAAGUAGGUCCCAAGGGUAUGGCUGUUCGCCAUUUAAAGUGGUACGCGAGCUGGGUUUAGAACGUCGUGAGACAGUUCGGUCCCUAUCUGCCGUGGGCGCUGGAGAACUGAGGGGGGCUGCUCCUAGUACGAGAGGACCGGAGUGGACGCAUCACUGGUGUUCGGGUUGUCAUGCCAAUGGCACUGCCCGGUAGCUAAAUGCGGAAGAGAUAAGUGCUGAAAGCAUCUAAGCACGAAACUUGCCCCGAGAUGAGUUCUCCCUGACUCCUUGAGAGUCCUGAAGGAACGUUGAAGACGACGACGUUGAUAGGCCGGGUGUGUAAGCGCAGCGAUGCGUUGAGCUAACCGGUACUAAUGAACCGUGAGGCUUAACCUU
rnacentral:rRNA from 1 species